rnacentral:rRNA from 1 species
GACGAACGCUGGCGGCGUGCCUAAUACAUGCAAGUCGAGCGGGGUUAUUUUAGAAGCUUGCUUUUAAAAYAACCUAGCGGCGGACGGGUGAGUAACACGUAGGCAACCUGCCCCUCAGACUGGGAUAACUACCGGAAACGGUAGCUAAUACCGGAUACAUCCUUUCCCUGCAUGGGGAGAGGAGGAAAGACGGAGCAAUCUGUCACUGAUGGAUGGGCCUGCGGCGCAUUAGCUAGUUGGUGGGGUAAUGGCCUACCAAGGCGACGAUGCGUAGCCGACCUGAGAGGGUGAUCGGCCACACUGGGACUGAGACACGGCCCAGACUCCUACGGGAGGCAGCAGUAGGGAAUCUUCCGCAAUGGGCGAAAGCCUGACGGAGCAACGCCGCGUGAGUGAUGAAGGUUUUCGGAUCGUAAAGCUCUGUUGCCAGGGAAGAACGUCUUGUAGAGUAACUG